CCGAGUUUACAACUCCCAAACCCAAUGUGAACGUUACCAAACUGUUGCCUCGGCGGGGUCACGCCCCGGGUGCGUAAAAGCCCCGGAACCAGGCGCCCGCCGGAGGAACCAACCAAACUCUUUCUGUAGUCCCCUCGCGGACGUAUGUCUUACAGCUCUGAGCAAAAAUUCAAAAUGAAUCA
rnacentral:misc_RNA from 1 species